rnacentral:rRNA from 1 species
AACGAACGCUGGCGGCAGGCUUAACACAUGCAAGUCGAACGGGUGUAGCAAUACACCAGUGGCAGACGGGUGAGUAACACGUGGGAACCUUCCUCGUAGUACGGAACAACUCAGGGAAACUUGUGCUAAUACCGUAUACGUCCGAGAGGAGAAAGAUUUAUCGCUAUGAGACGGGCCCGCGUCGGAUUAGGUAGUUGGUGGGGUAACGGCCUACCAAGCCUACGAUCCGUAGCUGAUCUGAGAGGAUGAUCAGCCACACUGGGACUGAGACACGGCCCAGACUCCUACGGGAGGCAGCAGUGGGGAAUCUUGGACAAUGGGCGCAAGCCUGAUCCAGCCAUGCCGCGUGAGUGAAGAAGGCCUUAGGGUUGUAAAGCUCUUUUGGCAGGACGAUAAUGACGGCACCUGCAGAA